ensembl:lncRNA
GUCCGGCUCCAUUUGCGUCCAGCCUGGAAGCCGGCUGAGAGAGCCCGUAGGCUGAGGAGUCAGGAGGGUGGUGAACUCUGCUGUCGUGAGGGGCUCUGGGUGCUGGCGAGGUGCUGUUUCUCGACCUGGGUGCUGGUUCCGUUGCCAUGCUCAGCUCGUACAGAUUUACCCAGCCAUACACAUCUGAUUUAUGCAAUUUUCUCUAUGUAUAUUUAACUCCAGCAAAAAAGUUAAGGAAAAAAAAAGCAUCCUGGAGCAGGUUAAAUGCACCUCCUUUUCUGUCCAAAGGGAGGUGAGCACAGGUGCCCGGCUUCCCCCGUGUGCCUGCCCCUCCCCUGUGCCACCGGAGUCCCUCCUAGUCUCUGAGACUCGUGAAGCCUCAGGCUUGGGGAGGCUGCCUCCAUCGAGCCUAGGGGAUGUGGAUCUGUGGGGUCAAUCCCACCACUACAGUUUAGGCCCUGGAAGCGGGGCUCUGGGGCUGAAUGCUGUCCCUCCCCGGCUGGGUUACUUGGGACCUCCCUGCCACCAGUUGCGUCCAGGGCUGGGGUCUGGGGGCGGGGGCAGGCUUGGUGUAGGAGGUCAGCGUGCAGAGGCACAGGCUGCCUGGUCCCUGGGUUGUGUCCUGACAGCUCUGUGCACCCCCAGCCGGUGGGGUGGGUGGGCUGGCAGAUGGGGCUGUCCACAGUUCAGUGCCUCCUCACCCUGCCCCCCAGUGGAGGCCAGGGAGCAGGGGCACCUGCUUCUCCGCCAGUCCUGGGUGAGGAAACCCCGGGGGCCUCCUCUGACCUUGCGCUUCGCUCCUAAAGGUCACUGCACGGUGCUCUAGGGGGUCAGGUUCCCGCAGUCGGGGACCGGGGGAAGGCAGUAAUCAAUCUGGGCCCCGCCAGGCCAGGGGCGCCGAUCCAGAGCAGCCCUCCUGUGCCCGCUGCCCGGCAGGGUUAUUUAUAACCGCGGGUCGCCUUACCUCCUGACCUUCAGCCGGAGCCCAGCGAUCUGCAGGCAUUAGCAUCUCCUCGCCGCCCACUGCGAACAAACAGUCCUCUGUGUGCACCCUGGGCAGGCCUCGCUGCAGCCCUGCAGGAAGCAGGAUGCUGACCCGGAGUCGGCGCCCCCUCGCUCCCUAGGGUGGACCCAGCCACGUGUGAGUUGGGGGGAGGUGGGUGCGGUGGGAGAAAGGUGCGAGAAAGACUUAGAACUACUCUUGUUCCCUUGGUUCCCAGGUUGAAAAUGUUGGUCUAUUCUGGGCGGCAGUUUUAUUUACAAUGUGGGGCUCCCCAGCCUGGGUCUGCCCAAAGGGGUGCCCUCUUCAAAGCCAGCAGGAAGGACGCAGCACUGGUGACUGGACACCCCCUCCCCCCGCACAGGCGUGGUCCCUGGAAUCACACAGGACAAGCUGUGCUCUCCCCAGCAGCAGCCCUGCCUUCUUAGAUGGCAGCUGAAGCUCAGAGAGGGAAGCGACUGGUCCAACGUCACACAGCCACCCAUGGCAGAUUCCCCAGCUCCUGGCUGAUGGGAAGCAGCUGGAUCAGAACUCCUGAUUAUGACCUGGAGGAGCCACUGUAAAAGGAGGCUGGGGAUAGGGAGACGGCCCAUUCAUUCAACACGUUUUUGUUGGUCACUCACUGGGCGCCAGGCACCAUUCCAGGCAGAAAUCCUCACCCUUGUGGGGCUGAUAGUCUGGGGACCUGGAGGGACCUGGAGCCUGCGGUCCCUUGAUGGAGUCCCAUUCCAGGCAGCUGCUGAGGGUCUUGAGUCCCAGCGAGGGAGACUGAGUCAGGGAGCGAGGGCUGGGCAGAGGGAGGGUGGGUGUGGGCCUGCAGCCUUGGGCUGAGUAUUUGGUGCGGCCGGCCAGCCAAAGCCAAGUGAGUGUCAACAUCCCAAGCCACGAGGGCUUUGUCUCAACAGUGGGCGCCCUCCCCUGCACGCCUUCAGAUGACCUUGCACCCAGAGCGGAGGGUGAAGGUCCCACACAGUGCCCAAUCUUGGCAGUCAUCCUGGAGGAAGCCAUGGACUGGGCCCAGCCAAGGGGCUGGUUCUGCCCAGUAUGGGAGGAACUGAGUCAGGAGGUUUGAGGAGGGCAGCUGUUAGGGAGGAGGGGGCCUGGAUGCUUCCUUCCUUUUUGGCCAUGCUCUCAGACACUUUGAAGCACUUGGAAAACUUUGGCUGUGUGACUUGCCCAUCCCCUUGCCCUCUCUGGGCCACAGUUCCCACAAAUAAAAGUGAAGGGGUCAGCUGGGAUGAGCAGUUUCAGCUCUGGCUGCCUGGGGUUCUUGUCUAGGGACUCAGAGACCCUCCCACUCGAGUCUGGCUCAGCCGUGAGUGUUCCCCUUGGCCCAGUGAAGGCCAAGGGCACAGGCCGGGGGUGGAGUCAGGAGUUGCCGCAGCUGUGGGUAGCUGGGUGGCCAACAACCCCUUUCAGUGUGUGAGGAAGUGCCGAGUACACUUAUGUGUGCCUGUGUGAGCAUGUAGGACGUGCUGUAGCCACGUGUGUGUAGGAGUGUGCCUUUGUGGGUAGGCGGUUGUAUAAAACAUUAUGUACACGGGAAGGAGUGUGUGUCUUGGUGUGUGUUUAUGUGGGGAUCAAGAGGACAGUGUGUACAAGUGUGUCUGUGGGGUCACACAUGUGUAGGUUUCAGAUGAGGAAACCGAGGCGCAGAGAGGCAAAGGGAUGUGUCGAAAGCCACACAGCUGGAGCAAGUGGUGGAACUGGCCUGGGAACAUGGGUCGGUGUGUUUUCCCUCCAUCCCACAGCGACAUGGUGGGGGUGGGGGUGGGGAGUUGGCAGAGGUAGCCCUUUAAAAACUGCGGUAGGGCCACCACAAGUAAACAGAAGCCUUGACAGCUGUCGGGCCCUCUCUCCAAGCACAAGGCAGAGGCUGGCCCUGUUUCCAGCAGAAGGCCUUGGUCCGGGCCGGGCCGCCUUGACUCACAGGACUCAGGCUCGCGUUGCUCCUUUGUGGGCUGGAGGGGCCCCGAGAUCACAGACCCCGGAGUGGGUGUGAGCACCGUCUCUGCACCCAGAAGCUGAGAUCAGCUUUUGGGCUGCUCUUUCUUCAGUCAUUUACUGGUUUCCCAUGAUAAUAAUAACUACCCCUGCUGAGCUUUAUAGUUCACAAAGUACUUUCACAAACACUCUUUCAUUUACUCCUCACAUCAGCCUUGUGAUGAGGAGUUAAUAUGCCCAUUUUAUGGAAACAGAAACUGGAGUUCAGGGAGGGAGGUUCUGGGAAUGGCCUCAGAUCAGAAGGCCAGCAGUGGCCCUCACGCCAGCAUUCCCGAGCCCCGGGCCAGACCCGGCUCCUUCCUUCCACGGGGCAGCCUUCUCAGAGGAGUGCGGUGGCUUCUGGAGGGGCCGGCCUAUCUCAGUCUGCCAGCAGUGACCAGACAAUCUGCUCUCAUCAUCUGGGAGCUGGGUGAAGACCCCUCCCCACCCUCACCUCCUGCAAAUAUUGUGUGUUGGGGGGGGGGACACAAAGAAGCAGAAGUGACUGCUGAGUGAGGGAGCUGGAGAGAGUACUGGGGAGGGGUCCCCUGCCGCCUUGACCUUGGGCCCCGCAGAUGCAUGGAAGGGACCAGAAGUUCCUGGAACACGAGCCCAUCGCCGGGGUGCCCAGUGCCAGCUGUUGCCAUCUGCUUGUGGCAAAACGAGAAAAAUAGGACAAUACAGUGAAGUUUUCCUAAAGCUAGACCUACUCGAUCUGAAGUACGGCCCUUUCCCUGGAGCUGUGUAUUUUCAGGGUCUGUGCAUGUGUGUGUUUAAAAAGGACCUUUUCUUUGACAUUUUCUUUAAUGUCCUUAACUGAGCAAAAUAAAAGACUAGUGACCAUGUCAGAUCCUAAAUCGGCUUUUUGGAAAUGUUAGUGACUAAGGAAUCCGAAUGCCUGGGAAUCACGGAGCUGGCCCUGAUUCGGCGAGCCCUGGCACGGAGGACUUGUUUUUGAAUUCAGGGAUGAUCUCUGAACAGCUGGAAAACCCCUGGGGGAGGAGAGGUUGGGGUUCCUGCCUGGACUCAGCCCCUCAGCCCUGGAUCCCCAGGAAACCUGAGCAGAGGGAACAUUAGAGUCACUGCACAGGGAAUUCUGAGAAAGGCCUCGGGCUGAUUCUCCGUGCUGCACCCCCUCAGCCUCUUCUCUGACCCCCAGCCAGAGGGAAUGUACCCUCCAACCUCAGCCCUGCCUCCCCCAGCCCCCCAAGGCUGGAUCCAAAAUAGCCCAGGCCCGGGAGGAGACGUCAUGGGUCAGACUGGCUGCCUGCCCUCAGAGAGGGCAUGUCGGUAAUGCCCAAGGCCAAAUAUAGAGGGACACCAGACACCGCUGGGCCACCCAGGGCCUGGGGAGCCCGGCCGGCGUCGCAGGGCCUCCCCCACCCUCAUCCCUUCCCAGCCCUGCACCCCCAACCCGGGCUCCGGAGGCCAGCGCCUCCUGGCCAGGCCCACCCAGCCAGGACAUGUCCCAGCAAGCCCAGAGCCGAGCUGGAGGCUGGCCCGACGGGGUGCUGGGCCUGGGCUGGGCCUGGGCUGGGCCUGGGCGUGGGGACACCCCUCCAUCUGGGGGUCUCAAAGCACUUUUAUAAGCGUCACUUCCCACAGGCUGCUGCCGAGAUCAGGAGGCCAAGAGGACCCGGUGUCUCCGGGGGGCCGGCUCCUGCCUCUGUUCCUCCCAGCUCGGGAAGGAGACCAGGCCGUAAACCUGCGGCGUGGGAGGCGUGGGAGGCGGGGGGCGGGCAGGCGGCCAGGUCUAACCCGAGUGAACUCCCGGUGGAAUCGAACUGCAAAUAAUGAGUCCUGAUUGCCGAGGUGGCCUCCACCCGCCACUCCCGGGAAUUAAAAGUCAAAGGGCAGAGCUGCUGACGCAAAUGUCAAGGGAGACACGCGGUGUGGAACAGCUGGGAUCCUGCUCCCCGGCCCGCCGCCCAAGGUCGCCGCCCCCAGCGCCCUGGAUCCGGCGUCCCCCAGGCUGGGCCCCGAGAGGCCCCCGUUCCCUAGGCGCAGCAGGGAAGGGGGCUCGGCUCCCUCUCCCUCCUCCUGGUUCUGAGGUCAACAGAACUCGAUUGGAGGUUCAUCAGAAAUCCCCGUGCAACGGCGUUGCCGGACGCCUGCUGACGCGGAGAGGCAGCAGCUCGAGUCCUGUGGGCCUUCCCCGCCUCCCCCGCCAACAAGGGGGAGGAAACUUCUGCCGACGGGGGCGCGUGGCUCGCUAACACCUGCUGUGUCCCCUAGGUCGUCCCAGGGCCGGCACACCGUGGGCAGCUGCACCGUGGUCUGUGCACCAGUGGUGACCCCCAGCGGUCAGUGUGGGACUUGACCUUGGACCCAGCACUGAAGCCUCCGCCAGGCCAGGGGCUGGGAAACCCCGGGGGCGCCAGGUUUGGAGAUUUGAUCUUGGAAGGGAGGUGUUGGCGUUCGGAGGUGGCGUUCGGAGGUGUUUUUCUCUGUGCUGAAUUUUCCUAAUCGCCCUGUGGCUGGAUCUCAGCCUGUGUCCCACUGUGAGCCAGUCAGCCUCAACAUGUCUAAGAGGCGCAUCAUCACUGAGCCCCUACCGGCUCUUCCUCCUGACUUCCCUAUUUCUAUUAAUAGCACCACUACCCUCCCAGUCCCUCAGGCUCCAAACCUCCGUGUCAUUGUCCACAUCUCCCCACACUGGGCUGGCUGACCGGUCCUGUCCCUCCUCACCGUGCAGGUCAUUCUUCCACCCCUCCUCCGAUACUCAUGGCCACUGCCCCAGUCAAUGGACCUCUCACCUGAGCUACUGUCAUCCUCGACAAUGCCACUGGGUCAGACCUGGCUAUGUGACCGGUCCCUUCCACUUACUGGCUGUGUGACCUUGGGCAAGCUACUUAACUUCUCUGAGCUCAACUUCCUCAGCUGUAAAAUGAGGAUAAUAAUUACAGUCCCUACCUCAUAGAGCACUGCAUGAAUUGUGAUGUAUGUGAAGACCCUGACACAUAGGAAAUGCUCAGUGACUGUGAAUUAUUAGAGAUCAUCCAUCCAAUCCAACUCUUCCAUUUUACAAACAAGGAAACUGAGGCUCAGAGAGCUGGAAGGAGAGCUAACAUCUGGCAUGGUGUCUUUACAACUUGCUACAGGGGUCCAGCCGGGUGGCACAGUGGUUAAGUUCACACGUUCUGCUUCGGUGGCCUGGGGUUUGCCGGUUCGGAUCCUGGGUGUGGGCCUACACACCAUACUGUGGUAGGCAUCCCACAUAUAAAGUAGAGGAAGAUGGGCAUGGAUGUUAGCUCAGGGCCAGUCUUCCUCAGCAAAAUGAGGCGGAUUGGUGGCAGAUGUUAGCCAGGGCUAAUCUUCCUCAAAAAUAGAAUAAAAUAAAAAUAAAACUUGCUACAGAGCAGGGGGAGUGGAAGUUCCUGGAGUCUUGAAGCUCCUCCACCACUGCCCGCAUCAUCGCGAUCUGGAACCCAGAUCCAAAGGCCCCCUGCUGAGUUCACGGGGCACACCCUCCUGCCUUCAGGAGCAGGCAUGCUUGGGUGAGUGCUGAGGUCGCAAAUACCUUCUGGGAUGAGACAACUACAGGUGACGUCCAGCGGCUGUGAGUCAGGGAGACCCAUCUGCAAGGUGACGAGUGAGGCUGGGCACUCAGGCCGCAGGGGUGCUGGGCAUGCAGGGGUCGUGCCAGACGUCAGACAUCCAAAUAGGGUGGGCACCUCCUCCCGCAACAACCCCGCCCUCACACUCCUCCCCCAGCUCCCACUCACCCCCUCCAGUGCCCAGGCCUUCGCGUGGGGGUCCGUGGGGGCAGGGCAGGCUGCCUCCCGUCCAGAUAUUCCAGGCGGACGUUCUGAACAGUCCCUCAUGAAUGAGCACCUGGGGGCCAUACGCUCCUUGAAACUGAAGGUGGGAGCCCUGUUCUGGGGACAGGUUCUCAAAGGGGACUUCUCUCCACAAAGAGAAGAUGAUCAAGAGCAGCAAGAGCAGAUGAUCCAGGUUCAAACAUGGGCCUGUCCUAGAGUCCUAGGACACCUCCUGUCUAAGCCAGAGGUUCUCAAACAGGUUUUGCUCCUGGGGACACCUGGCAAUGCCUGGAGACAUGUUUGGUUGUUAUACUGGGAGGGAGGGUGUGCAUGACCUACUGGCAUCUAGUGGGGAGAGGCCAAGGGUGUUGCUAAAUAUCCUACAAUGCACACAGCACAGACACACAACGAAGAACAUUCCAGCCCCCGUGUCAGUAGUACAGCGGCCUCGAGGAGGAAGGGAGGCCGUGCCUGUGAAGAACCCGGGACUGGGCCUGGCUCAUGCUCUGUGUUGGCAAGGGACCUUUCUUUUCUAAGGCCGUCUCUCAGCCUGGACACCCAAGCCAGUGGGCAGAGGUGGAGUGGGCAUAUACUCACAUGAGAAUUCUGAGAAAUGAUCUUGGUGUUUCUGCCACACCCAGCCUGGGGCAGAGUUUCUAGAAGAGUCUGGUGCUCACUCAUGAACCCUUUCAACAAGGACAAAGCAGGCCCUGGAAGGAGCGGCCCGCCCUCGGGCUGCUCACCCUGCCACCUCCAGCAGGCCUCCCCGUGACCCAUCACCCACCCCUCUCACUUGCAUUUGUGAGGGAGAGAGGGGAGAGGAUGGGGCAGAAGCCCUCCUCCGAGCUCUCCUCAGACCCGCCAAGGCCGCGCAGGGAGGAGGAUGUGCUAGCGGCAGCCCUGCACAGAGGCAGGGACGGCUCCAGGGCACCUUCGAAGGUGUGUGAAGCUGAGUCAAGGAGCUGGCAAGCCCUCCUGCCACUCACCUCAGCAGGCAGCUGGUUCUCCUUCAGCCUCAGCAGCUGUGGGGUCAAGUGUCUGCUCUACAGAAGCUGGUCCCAGAUAAGCCACCGCCUUCUUCCCUGGGAUGGGGUGGUGUAGCCCCAUCAGAACCCCCACACCCUGGCCCCUGAGCUCCGCUUUGCUGGUUUACCCAAUUCAAGUAAAAUGGAUUAUCGGAUUACGGUCGGAGUGGGUGGAAGGGUCAGGUCGAUCGACAGAGACGGGACUCUUAGACCCCUUUCUGACACUGCUCAUUUGUGGGGUCUGGGGGAUUGGGGCAUUGCAAUCACACCCUCUCCCCUCGGGUCUCAAUUUCAGGCACGUGUUUAAUGGGGCACACCACCUUCCAAACCUUCGGUGUCAGGCUGUGUGGGGGUGGGGCUUCUGUCUGCGUCUGGAAGCCCAGCUGACUUCACGACAAGCCCAGACACGCAGCUGUUUCUGAAACAGAAGCCGCAGCGGUGGGGGAAGCGCCAAGCGCCGAGGCUGGGGGCAGAGAGGAGACCCCCGGACACCAGACUGAUGUGUACAGUUAACAGGGCCUAACCAAAGGGUCUGCACUGCGUCUCCAGGUGGGAGCUGCCUCCUGCCAUGGGAGUCUUCUCUGGGGAAACGUUUUUGUCUUGAUUGGAAAUUUCUUCCUGACGUGUGACAUGUGACCUUCACCUCUUCUUCUAGAGCUUGGCUCUGCUGCCAGGCUGAGGCUGCCCACCUCCCCCGAAGUCCCCUCCCCUCCAAUACUCUGUUCCUUCCCAGGGAUGCUCAGAGGCUGCAGGGCAUCUUGCCUUAUGCUGGUCCUCCCCUGCAGGGACGCCAAAGCUGGGGGAGGGGCACCUGGGCCUGUCUGGCUUCCUGCCCAAGGUAUGAUCCCGUUGUGAAAGUUCUGGGCCUAGGCCCCUAAGGAGGGGUUCCUCCCAAGCACCCUCAUCCCUCUGGUCCCUCCAGCUUUCUCCUCA